rnacentral:rRNA from 1 species
UAGGGAAUCUUCCACAAUGGGCGAAAGCCUGAUGGAGCAACGCCGCGUGUGUGAUGAAGGGUUUCGGCUCGUAAAACACUGUUGUAAGAGAAGAAUGAUAUUGAGAGUAACUGUUCAAUGUGUGACGGUAUCUUACCAGAAAGGAACGGCUAAAUACGUGUCAG